rnacentral:rRNA from 1 species
CCUACGGGAGGCAGCAGUGAGGAAUAUUGGUCAAUGGACGAGAGUCUGAACCAGCCAAGUAGCGUGAAGGAUGACUGCCCUAUGGGUUGUAAACUUCUUUUAUAAAGGAAUAAAACGAGGCACGUGUGCCUUUUUGCAUGUACUUUAUGAAUAAGGAUCGGCUAACUCGGUGCCAGCAGCCGCGGUAAUACGGAGGAUCCGAGCGUUAUCCGGAUUUAUUGGGUUUAAAGGGAGCGUAGAUGGGUUGUUAAGUCAGUUGUGAAAGUUUGCGGCUCAACCGUAAAAUUGCAAUUGAUACUGGCAGUCUAGAGUACAGUUGAGGUAGGCGGAAUUCGUGGUGUAGCGGUGAAAUGCUUAGAUAUCAAGAAGAACACGGAUUGCGAAGGCAGCUUACUAAACUGUGACUGACAUUGAUGCUCGAAAGUGUGGGUAUCAAACAGGAUUAGAUACCCCUGUAGUC